rnacentral:rRNA from 1 species
AUGGCGCGGAGCGCGGCCCUGCCGGCGCGCAGGCAGGGGCUUGCGGACAAGGAGCAGCAGCGAUGGCGGCUUCUAGCGGGAGUGACAGUGGGCAGAGCAAGCAACGCAGCGGCAGCAUUAGGAGACCGGAAUGACAGUAGCUGCCAGCGGCACAGGAGUAGUGGCCAACGGCAACAGAAGCAGCAGCAUUAUAGCAGCGGGAGGCAUCGGGCGGCCGGAGCGACGCGCGGCAGGACGGCCGGCGCGCGGGCACGGGGCGGAGGCACCAGCGGGCGCGGACAUGGGUGGUUGGCGAGGGCGCGACCAGGAACACGUGGGCGCGCACGCGGACGAGAUGUUUCGGCCAUGGCGCUCGAGCUCGAGGGGUGA